AGGACGAACGCUGGCGGCGUGCUUAACACAUGCAAGUCGAGCGGAAAGGCCCUUCGGGGUACUCGAGCGGCGAACGGGUGAGUAACACGUGAGUAAUCUGCCCCUAGCUCUGGGAUAGCUCCGGGAAACCGGGAUUAAUACCGGAUACGACCACCUUAGACAUCUUUUGUGGUGGAAAGAAUUUCGGCUAGGGAUGAGCUCGCGGCCUAUCAGCUUGUUGGUGGGGUAACGCCUACCAAGGCGACGACGGUAGCCGGCCUGAGAGGGCGACCGGCCACACUGGGACUGAGACACGGCCCAGACUCCUACGGGAGGCAGCAGUGGGGAAUAUUGCGCAAUGGGCGAAAGCCUGACGCAGCGACGCCGCGUGGGGGAUGAAGGCCUUCGGGUUGUAAACCCCUUUCAGCAGGGACGAAGCGAAAGUGACGGUACCUGCAGAAGAAGCGCCGGCUAACUACGCGCCAGCAGCCGC
rnacentral:rRNA from 1 species